rnacentral:rRNA from 1 species
GAUGAACGCUGGCGGCGUGCCUAAUACAUGCAAGUCGAGCGAACAGACGAGGAGCUUGCUCCUCUGACGUUAGCGGCGGACGGGUGAGUAACACGUGGAUAACCUACCUAUAAGACUGGGAUAACUUCGGGAAACCGGAGCUAAUACCGGAUAAUAUAUUGAACCGCAUGGUUCAAUAGUUAAAGACGGUUUUGCUGUCACUUAUAGAUGGAUCCGCGUCGCAUUAGCUAGUUGGUAAGGUAACGGCUUACCAAGGCAACGAUGCGUAGCCGACCUGAGAGGGUGAUCGGCCACACUGGAACUGAGACACGGUCCAGACUCCUACGGGAGGCAGCAGUAGGGAAUCUUCCGCAAUGGGCGAAAGCUUGACGGAGCAACGCCGCGUGAGUGAUGAAGGUCUUCGGAUCGUAAAACUCUGUUAUUAGGGAAGAACAAAUGUGUAAGUAACUAUGCACGUCUUGACGGUACCUAAUCAGAAAGCCACGGCUAACUACGUG